GACGUAGGGCGCGAGCGUUGUCCGGAUUUAUUGGGCGUAAAGAGCUCGUAGGCGGCUUGUCGCGUCGACUGUGAAAUCCCGCGGCUCAACUGCGGGUCUGCAGUCGAUACGGGCAGGCUAGAGUUCGGUAGGGGAGUCUGGAAUUCCUGGUGUAGCGGUGAAAUGCGCAGAUAUCAGGAGGAACACCGGUGGCGAAGGCGGGUCUCUGGGCAGUAACUGACGCUGAGGAGCGAAAGCGUGGGGAGCGAACAGG
rnacentral:rRNA from 1 species